rnacentral:rRNA from 1 species
AACCCUUAUUGCUAGUUACCAUCAUUAAGUUGGGGACGUCUAGCGAGACUGCCAGUGAUAAACUGGAGGAAGGUGGGGAUGACGUCAAAUCAUCAUGCCCCUUAUGACCUGGGCUACAAACGUGAUACAAUGGCUGAAACAAAGGGCAGCGAAGCAGUGAUGUGAAGCGAAACCCAAAAAAGCAGUCUCAGUUCGGAUUGAAGUCUGCAACUCGACUUCAUGAAGUCGGAAUCGCUAGUAAUCGCGAAUCAGAACGUCGCGGUGAAUACGUUCUCGGGGUUU